UGGGGAAUCUUGGACAAUGGGGGAAACCCUGAUCCAGCCAUGCCGCGUGAGUGAAGAAGGCCCUAGGGUUGUAAAGCUCUUUCAGCGGGGAAGAUAAUGACGGUACCCGCAGAAGAAGCCCCGGCUAACUCCGUGCCAGCAGCCGCGGUAAUACGGAGGGAGCUAGCGUUGUUCGGAAUUACUGGGCGUAAAGCGCGCGUAGGCGGCGUAUCAAGUCAGGGGUGAAAUCCCGGGGCUCAACCCCGGAACUGCCCUUGAAACUAGUAUGCUAGAAUCCUGGAGAGGCGAGUGGAAUUCCGAGUGUAGAGGUGAAAUUCGUAGAUAUUCGGAAGAACACCAGUGGCGAAGGCGACUCGCUGGACAGGUAUUGACGCUGAGGUGCGAAAGCGUGGGGAGCAAACAGGAUUAGAUACCCCUGUAGUCC
rnacentral:rRNA from 1 species